rnacentral:rRNA from 21 species
CUGACUGUGCAAAGGUAGCAUAAUCAACUGUUCAUUAAUUGUGGACUAGUAUCAACGGCUAGACGACAGGAAAGCUGUCUCUUUGCACUGUUUUUGAAUUUAGCGUUUAGGUGAAGAGGCCUAAAUGUAAAAGUGGGACGAGAAGACCCUAUUGAGCUUUAGUCUUAUUAUUAAGGGUUGCCUUAAUCUGGGCUUGGGUUGGGGCAACUGCUUUUAUACUUUAAAACAAAAGCAUAACAGCCAUAAAUUGAUUUUACAUAAUGACCCAAGUUGGUCUUGAUUAUUAGAAAAAGUUACCGUAGGGAUAACAGCGUAAUUUUCCUUGAAAGUCCGUAUUGACAGGAGAGUUUGCGACCUCGAUGUUGGAUCAAGAGCUCCCUAGGAGUGUAGCAGCCCCUAACGGUUGGUUUGUUCAACCAUGAAAGUCUU